rnacentral:lncRNA from 1 species
GGUAAUUGUAAUUUUAUGAACUCAGUCUCUGGCUAAUAUGAGUAUUCAAAUGAAUGUCUUCUCAAAAUGAGUUACACAGCAAAUAAUUUGAUGCUAUUUAUGUUUGUUUUGUUUUUAACAUUACUUCUGCUAAUUUAACAGCUAAUAGAAGGCAGUAUUUGAGAUCAGCUAUUAGAAAGUUAUCAGGAGGUUAAUUAUACAUAUUUAGGGAAUAUUUUAAUCUCUCAGGAAGAUAACAACCUUCAUCCUAACUAGGUAGUUAAAUAAUUUUAGCAUGUAAUAUUAACAAGUU